CUCAUUCUAUGUGUAGACCUUGAUUAAUGGGACCCAAGUUCAAGUUGGCCCAGCCAUGGGCCCAUCCUCCCUGCUCUCUCCAUGUCUGUCUCCAGGUGACCUUAUCUGUUGCUAGGCGACAUUCACCCAGUGCAUCCCACUAACUGUGCGUGCUGUCCAUGUGAAGAUCUCACAGGCAACUCGAUGAGGCCAAUGUGGAACUCCUGAUUGUCCCCCCACAUCUUCCUGCUCAGACCAUAAACUUCAGCAUCGUCCUCACUUGUCUUUUUCCUUCACCUCCCAUGUCGGAGCCUUGAGCCUGCCAUUCGCCCUCCUAAAUAGAUCUCGAAUCCACCCACUUCUCCCCUCCUCCUCCUCUGCCACCCAGGGCCUGCCACCGUCACUCUCAUCCAGGUGGCUGCAAGAGCCUCGUAGUGAGUGUCCCGGCCUCUCUCACCCUCCUGCAAAGAUUCCCCACCGAGCAAGCGGGGACUCCGCCACCUGGCCCAACGCAGCCCAACAUCCCCUCCCCCCACCAGGGGAACAAAGCCUGACGCCCCGCCUCGGCCUCGCUGAGUCUCCAGUGUCAAGCCCUGCCCCUCGCCUCACCCUGCACCCCAGCCACACUGUGCCUGGGCCCCCAAAAGCUUCUUCCCGCUUCAGGACCCGGCACUUCGGCUCCCUCUGCCUGAGACACCCUCCUCCCCACUCUGCCGUCCAGUCUCAGGGGGCCCCCCGGAGCCCCAGUCCAUCCCUGGUUCCCACCGACCCCCGCUCAGGGAUUUUCUGCCGCUGCGUGUUUCCCAUCCCCUCCAUCAGCCAGGCAGGUUUCCAUCGGCACUUGUUCCUGCAUCCCUUCAGGCGGACGAGGGCCCCGCUGGGCCGGGCGGUCCUGCCGCUGAGGCUGGAACUGCUUUGCUCGGUCUGCACCAACACCUGGUGCUCAGUACACAGCAAGCAGUCAACUGAUGCUCCGAGAACCAGAGUGUGGCUCCUCCAUUCUCACUGUGCGCCACAGGCAGGGGCAAGCCCACAGGCUUCAGGACCAGCGGGGACAUUCACGGCCACCCAGGCUGCUCGCCCACUCUGUGACCCCAGGCAGGCCACUCUGCCUCUCU
rnacentral:lncRNA from 1 species